AAAUUGAAGAGUUUGAUCAUGGCUCAGAUUGAACGCUGGCGGCAGGCCUAACACAUGCAAGUCGAACGGUAACAGGAAGCAGCUUGCUGCUUCGCUGACGAGUGGCGGACGGGUGAGUAAUGUCUGGGAAACUGCCUGAUGGAGGGGGAUAACUACUGGAAACGGUGGCUAAUACCGCAUAACGUCGCAAGACCAAAGAGGGGGACCUUCGGGCCUCUUGCCAUCAGAUGUGCCCAGAUGGGAUUAGCUAGUUGGUGAGGUAACGGCUCACCAAGGCGACGAUCCCUAGCUGGUCUGAGAGGAUGACCAGCCACACUGGAACUGAGACACGGUCCAGACUCCUACGGGAGGCAGCAGUGGGGAAUAUUGCACAAUGGGCGCAAGCCUGAUGCAGCCAUGCCGCGUGUAUGAAGAAGGCCUUCGGGUUGUAAAGUACUUUCAGCGGGGAGGAAGGUGUUGUGGUUAAUAACCGCAGCAAUUGACGUUACCCGCAGAAGAAGCACCGGCUAACUCCGUGCCAGCAGCCGCGGUAAUACGGAGGGUGCAAGCGUUAAUCGGAAUUACUGGGCGUAAAGCGCACGCAGGCGGUCUGUCAAGUCGGAUGUGAAAUCCCCGGGCUCAACCUGGGAACUGCAUUCGAAACUGGCAGGCUUGAGUCUUGUAGAGGGGGGUAGAAUUCCAGGUGUAGCGGUGAAAUGCGUAGAGAUCUGGAGGAAUACCGGUGGCGAAGGCGGCCCCCUGGACAAAGACUGACGCUCAGGUGCGAAAGCGUGGGGAGCAAACAGGAUUAGAUACCCUGGUAGUCCACGCCGUAAACGAUGUCUACUUGGAGGUUGUGCCCUUGAGGCGUGGCUUCCGGAGCUAACGCGUUAAGUAGACCGCCUGGGGAGUACGGCCGCAAGGUUAAAACUCAAAUGAAUUGACGGGGGCCCGCACAAGCGGUGGAGCAUGUGGUUUAAUUCGAUGCAACGCGAAGAACCUUACCUGGUCUUGACAUCCACAGAACUUUCCAGAGAUGGAUUGGUGCCUUCGGGAACUGUGAGACAGGUGCUGCAUGGCUGUCGUCAGCUCGUGUUGUGAAAUGUUGGGUUAAGUCCCGCAACGAGCGCAACCCUUAUCCUUUGUUGCCAGCGGUUAGGCCGGGAACUCAAAGGAGACUGCCAGUGAUAAACUGGAGGAAGGUGGGGAUGACGUCAAGUCAUCAUGGCCCUUACGACCAGGGCUACACACGUGCUACAAUGGCGCAUACAAAGAGAAGCGACCUCGCGAGAGCAAGCGGACCUCAUAAAGUGCGUCGUAGUCCGGAUUGGAGUCUGCAACUCGACUCCAUGAAGUCGGAAUCGCUAGUAAUCGUGGAUCAGAAUGCCACGGUGAAUACGUUCCCGGGCCUUGUACACACCGCCCGUCACACCAUGGGAGUGGGUUGCAAAAGAAGUAGGUAGCUUAACCUUCGGGAGGGCGCUUACCACUUUGUGAUUCAUGACUGGGGUGAAGUCGUAACAAGGUAACCGUAGGGGAACCUGCGGUUGGAUCACCUCCUUACCUUAAAGAA
rnacentral:rRNA from 2 species